rnacentral:rRNA from 1 species
GCAAGUCGAACGAUGAAACAGAGCUUGCUCUGUGGAUUAGUGGCGAAAGGGUGAGUAACCCGUGAGUAACCUGCCCGGAAGUUGGGGAUAGCCCGUGGAAACGCGGAUUAAUACCGAAUGUGGAUUUUUUGGCUCCUGCCUUUUUAUCUAAAGAUUUAUUGCUUCCGGAUGGGCUCGCGUAUCAUCAGCUAGUUGGUAAGGUAACGGCUUACCAAGGCGACGACGAUUAGGUGGUCUGAGAGGACGAUC